rfam:Pteropus vampyrus cont1.234925, whole genome shotgun sequence.
AUCCAGUCUGGUGGUUCUGCGUACACCUAGCUCGUCAGAGGGGCUGCAUCGACCCGCCUUGCCAUUGGUCCUGCCACGUUUUCCUCUCUCGUCCCUGUUGAGGGACACGAA